rnacentral:lncRNA from 1 species
GGCUGAGCUGGUGGUUCUGGGGUGGGCCCCCUCCAUGGAGACAUGAAGUCCUGACAGCCCCAUCCAGGAGAGAAACAUAAUUGAGGUGGAAGGAUCCAGAAGAAAGGAACCAGUGAUGAUGAGGACAGAGGGCUCUCCACGGGAAGGUGGGAGAGAAUUUAGUUCUCUGUGCCGUGAAGAUGGGAUUGGAGCCAUACAUUGGAGAUGAAGAGAGUCCUUCCAUCCAUCUGCUGGACCUGCUGGGCCUCAGGGCUUUCUCUGAAGUGGUAGGGGGAAGAUGUCACAGAGGAAAUGUAAAGAAAAGUCUACCUCGGCAGUCUACAGCGUGGUGGAUAAAAAAAGAGCAGGAAGAGUCUGGCGAGGCGAUCAGCCUGAUGUAGGUGCUGAGUGUCCCUCACAAAGUCCCAGCAUGAAAGGGGUGGCUGAGAGCCGCUGGGUGGGCCCCAAGUCCAUGGUGCUAGAGCGAGGUCAGGCUGAGGCAGGGCUGGAGGUGGUUGCAUGGAUGGCACUACAGGCACUUAGAGGGGUCUAAUCUGGGUCCAUUGGGGGCUAUGCCCCACAAGAGUGGUUCCUGUGCCCACGGGUCCCACCAUGAACCCCCCAGCCCCAGGCCUGAGCUCAUAAGUAAGCAGGGAGUCCAGAAGCCAAGCAGCCAAGGGCGUCCCUGACACCCAAAGCAAUGCCACCACAUACAAGGAUAGCCAGACGGAUCCAAGCUGAGGGCUGGACAGUGCCCACGGAGCCAUUUAAAGUCUUGUGUAUGUCUUUUUUUCCUCGUUUUUAAUUUCAUUUGACACUUAUGUACAAUAAAGUAUUGUGUAUGUCUAAAGCUUAAAUCAGGUGGGCCAUUUCCAUUUUCCUGGGUUCUGUUGGUUUGUUUGCUUUGUUUUCCUGCUGGUAAUAGGUAGUACCUGAGGAAGGCAAGAAAGGAUAUAAAGAAAAUAAGAAACAACACUUUCUCUGCACAUCCAAAUUGUGGCAAGGAUUUUUGCAGAUUGCCACCAGUUCACUGAGAGGAGUCAUUGAAAACAUGGCAUUGAGGACAGAGACUGCCACUUCAGAAUUUUCUACAUCCAACUGCUGAAGCCACUCGAAGAUAUUUCCCUCAGAGAACCAUAACCAGCUUUGGAGAAGAUGCUUCCACAUAGCUUGUUUCACAGCAUCUCAUCUCUCAUUAAAACCUUGUUGAGGGAGCAUUACUGUCUGAGCAAUGGACAUAGCUCUCAUACGAACCUUUUCAGCUAACACCGGAUAAGCCAGCUUUCUGACAGCCUCUUUCACAUCCUUGGUGCACCCUACAAUUUUUGGCAAAGUCUUUGCUGAUGGUGCAAUACAUGAUAACACUGCCUGUCUAAGUUCUGGAUUCAAAUCAAUCAUUUUCGAUCAAAGUAGCAUAUGCAUUAACCACUGGGCAUUCAUCAUCCUUUGGAUCCUGAAGUCGUGAAAGCGCCAGAACUGCCUGUAUUCUCACAUUUGGAAUCUUAUCUUUCAGUCUAAUAAGCAUGGCUUCAUUAAUUUUGUCAAACACACCAUCAUCAAUCUGAGCUUCUUCUGGCAUACUUCUCAAAAGCUUGUUUAUGCAGCUCCUGGUUCUUGAACUAACGUAGGCAUCAGCACAGCUGAUUCUCAUUCAGGAGAAGACAGUGCUGUGCCCAGGGGCCCCUGAGCCAUUGCCCAGCUUUCCAGCUUUCCAGGAAGUCUGCACUGGAGAAGCAUUCAACCUCCUCUGAGCUAACAUUUUCAUGUGCACACGUGAUUAUGAGUGUGAUACAGACAUUAUUUUACUUGUGUAACUAAUUUUUAAAUCAGACUAAUAAAAAAAGUUA